AGGUGCACGCGACUGUUGAUCCAGCGAUCCCCUAAUGGGAAUCCUCCCCGCAAGGGGAUUCACCUAGUAAUAGGUGAAGGCGAACCGCCCGAAGUGAAGCAUCUGAGUAGGGCGAGGAAAAGAAAUCAACCGAGAUUCUCUGAGUAGCGGCGAGCGAAAGGAGAAGAGCCCAAACUGAACCUUUUGCAGUAAUGCAAAAGGGAUGUGGUGUAUGCUGGUAGCAAUGCAUGCCUUUUCCUCUAGCUGAAUUACCUUGGAAUAGGUAGGCAUAGAGGGUGACACCCCCGUAAGCGAAAGGGGAAGAGGUAUGGCUACUAGUUAGAGUAGCCGGCCUUGGCAGUGGCUGGCGAAGAUGGGGGAAAGUAGCCUCCAAGGCUAAAUACCUCUCAAGACCGAUAGCGCACUAGUACCGUGAGGGAAAGCUGAAAAGUACCCCGGAAGGGGGGUGCAAAGAGCCUGAAACCAAGUGGUUACAGACGUGCACCGCUCGGAAGGAGCUUCGAAGUUGGAAACGGCGCGCAAGCGUACGCCCAACAGUAGUAGAGGCACUAGAGUGGUGCGUUCCGUCUAGAAACACGGGCCAGCGAGUUUACUGCCAUGGCGAGCCUAAGUCUAUGGACGGAGGCGAAGGGAAACCGAACUCUUGCAGCUCCGCAAGGAGUUAGGAGAGGGGUCUGAAAGGGCCCUAGUCAUGGCGGUAAGGCUAGAAACCGAGCGAUCUAGCCCUGGGCAAGGCGAAGCCAGGCGAAAGCCUGGUGGAGGCCUGCAGCGGUUCUGACGUGCAGAUCGUUCGUCUGAUCUGGGGCUAGGGGCCAAAAACCAAUCUAGCUCGGUGAUCGCUAGUUCCCACCGAAGCGGAUCGCAGUCCUACCUGGGCUGAGAUGGCUAGCGCUGUAGAGCACCGAUGGGGUAGCAAGGGCUCGAAAGGGCUCACUACCCUUUCGAACUCCGAAGGUGCUAGCAUCGUAGAAGCCCAGAUGCGGGUUUGUGUGGGGUAAGCCCCACAACCGAGAGGGGGACAACCCGGACUGGAGUUAAGGUCCCGAAAUGUUAGCUAAGUGUCAAACGAAAGGGCGUCUCCGAGCCUAGACAGCAGGAAGGUAGGCUUAGAAGCAGCCAUCCUUUAAAGAGUGCGUAACAGCUCACCUGCCGAGCUCGGGGGCCCCGAAGAUGGACGGGGCUAAAGCUAACUACCGAUACUCCAGAUCUCUCAUUUGAGAGCGUGGUAGGUGGGCGUGGUGCCUGGUGAGAAGCUGGGUCGCGAGAUCCAGUGGACCGGGUUCCAUUGUAGAUGCUGGUGGUAGUAACAGCAUAGCCGGGUGAGAAUCCCGGUCGCCGUAUGGGCAAGGGUUUCCCGGCAAUGCGUCGUCAGCCGGGAGUUAGCCGAUCCUAAGGAUAACCUCAACAGAGUUAUCCGAAAGGGAAACUGGUUAAUAUUCCAGUGCC
rnacentral:rRNA from 1 species